rnacentral:rRNA from 1 species
CGCUCUUUGCUAUAUAAAUAUAAGGAGUCGGACCUGCCCAGUGAAUUUUUUAACGGCCGCAGUACCCUGACUGUGCUAAGGUAGCAUAAUCAUUUGCCUUUUAAUUGGAGGCUGGAAUGAAUGGUUUGACGAGAACUUAACUGUCUCUUCUGUAUUAUAUAAAAAUUAAUUUUUAGGUGAAGAAGCCUAAAUUUAUUCGAUAGACGAAAAGACCCUAUCGAGCUUAAAGGUUUAGGUUAAGUUAAAGACUUUAGAAUAGUUGUUCUUAUAUUAAUUCUUUUUGUUGGGGCGACAGAAGAACAAAUAAAGCUUCUUUUAAUUUUAUAAACUUAUUUGUUAUAGUGAUCUUCAGAUAUUGACAAGAAAGAAAAGUUACCGUAGGGAUAACAGCGUUAUUUUUUUGGAAAGUUCAAAUUGAAGGAAAAGAUUGCGACCUCGAUGUUGGAUUAGAAAACCUAAUUGGCGGAGAAGCUAAUUUGAGGAGGUCUGUUCGACCUUUAAAUUUCUACA